rnacentral:lncRNA from 1 species
UCCGUGACUCGUGAAACAUAGUCAUUAACUAAUACAUGUGCUAGUCUAAUAUUCAUGUGUGUCCUCACAUGAACUCCGACUAGGGACAACUUUAGAAUAACCAUACAAGUAAAGAGUUUCACAUACAAUUCACAAAAUUGCAAAUCAAUUCAAGUAGCCUUUAAUGGAUAUUCAAGGAACACAAUAUAAAUCAUGGAUACUAAUGGAAUAUCAUCAUCUCUAUGAUUGCCUCUAGGGCAUACAUCCAAUAGUCUCC